rnacentral:rRNA from 1 species
CAGCCGCCACGGUAAUACGUAGGGUGCAAGCGUUAAUCGGAAUUACUGGGCGUAAAGCGUGCGCAGGCGGUUAUAUAAGACAGAUGUGAAAUCCCCGGGCUCAACCUGGGAACUGCAUUUGUGACUGUAUAGCUAGAGUACGGCAGAGGGGGAUGGAAUUCCGCGUGUAGCAGUGAAAUGCGUAGAUAUGUGGAGGAACACCGAUGGCGAAGGCAGCCCCCUGGGAUAAUACUGACGCUCAUGCACGAAAGCGUGGGGAGCAAACAGGAUUAGAUACCCCGGUAGUCCCUGUCUCUUAUAC